AUUGUAUGUUCUCCUACUCUGUUUUACCUGCAUUCUGCCAUAUAUUUCAUGUUAUAUCAGUCUCAGAUGACGACCCAGCACAUAUUAUUGGAUUUAAG